rnacentral:rRNA from 1 species
UUUUAGAAUUUAAUUUAAAGUCUAACCUGCCCACUGAAUAAUUUUAAAUGGCCGCAGUAUCCUAACUGUGCAAAGGUAGCAUAAUCAUUAGUCUUUUAAUUGAAGGCUGGAAUGAAUGGUUGAAUGAAAUAUUAACUGUUUCAUAAAAAUUAUAAAUAAAAUUUUAUUUUUUAGUCAAAAAGCUAAAAUAAUUUUAAAAGACGAGAAGACCCUAUAAAUCUUUAUAUUUAAAUAAUUUUAAUUAUUUAGAUUAAUUAAAUUAUAAUUAUUUUAAAUAUUUUAUUGGGGUGAUAUUAAAAUUUAAUAAACUUUUAAUUUAUAAUUUACAUAAAUUAAUGAAUUAUUGAUCCAUAAAUUAUGAUUAAAAAUUUAAGUUACUUUAGGGAUAACAGCGUAAUUUUUUUAGAGAGUUCAUAUUGAUAAAAA